GGAUGAACGCUAGCGGCAGGCUUAACACAUGCAAGUCGAGGGGUAACAGGAAAAAGCUUGCUUUUUUGCUGACGACCGGCGCACGGGUGCGUAACACGUAUGCAACCUACCUUUCACUGGAGGAUAGCCCCGAGAAAUCGGGAUUAAUACUCCAUAACAUCACAGAUUCGCAUGUUUCUGUGAUCAAAGCUCAGGCGGUGAGAGAUGGGCAUGCGUCCUAUUAGUUUGUUGGUAAGGUAACGGCUUACCAAGACUACGAUAGGUAGGGGGUCUGAGAGGAUGAUCCCCCACACUGGUACUGAGACACGGACCAGACUCCUACGGGAGGCACCAGUGAGGAAUAUUGGUCAAUGGACGAAAGUCUGAACCAGCCAUGCCGCGUGCAGGAAGACUGCCCUACGGGUUGUAAACUGCUUUUAUGUGGGAAUAAACCCCUGGAUGUGUAGAGGGCUGACGGUACCAAACGAAUAAGCACCGGCUAACUCCGUGCCAGCAGCCGCGGUAAUACGGAGGAUCCAAGCGUUAUCCGGAUUUAUUGGGUUUAAAGGGUCCGUAGGCGGGACAUUAAGUCAGUGGUGAAAGCCUUCAGCUUAACUGGAGAAUUGCCAUUGAUACUGAUGUUCUUGAGUACGUUUGAAGUGGGCGGAAUAUGUUCAUGCAGCGGUGAAAUGCAUAGAUAUGACACAGAACACCGAUUGCGAAAGGAAGCUUACUAAACCGUUACUGACGCUGAGGGACGAAAGCGUGGGGAGCGAACAGGAUUAGAUACCCUGGUAGUCCACGCCGUAAACGAUGAUCACUAGAUAUUGGCAUUAGUCAGUGUCCAAGCGAAAGCGAUAAGUGAUCCACCUGGGGAGUACGCCGGCAACGGUGAAACUCAAAGGAAUUGACGGGGGCCCGCACAAGCGGUGGAGCAUGUGGUUUAAUUCGAUGAUACGCGAGGAACCUUACCAGGGCUUAAAUGCAGAACGACCGGUCUGGAAACAGACCUUUCUUCGGACGGACUGCAAGGUGCUGCAUGGUUGUCGUCAGCUCGUGCCGUGAGGUGUCGGGUUAAGUCCCAUAACGAGCGCAACCCCUAUCUUUAGUUGCCAGCGGGUAAUGCCGGGGACUCUAGAGAAACUGCCAGCGUAAGCUGAGAGGAAGGUGGGGAUGACGUCAGAUCAUCACGGCCCUUACGUCCUGGGCUACACACGUGCUACAAUGGCAAGGACAAUGAGCUGCCAACCCGCGAGGGUGAGCAAAUCUUCAAACCUUGUCUCAGUUCGGAUCGGAGUCUGCAACUCGACUCCGUGAAGUUGGAAUCGCUAGUAAUCGCGUAUCAGCCAUGACGCGGUGAAUACGUUCCCGGGCCUUGUACACACCGCCCGUCAAGCCAUGGAAGCUGGGAGUGCCUGAAGUCGGUCACCGUAAGGAGCGCCUAGGGUAAAACCAAUGACUGGGGU
rnacentral:rRNA from 1 species